rnacentral:misc_RNA from 1 species
AUUCCGCCGAGAAUUCUCUUUUUGCGACUCACUCUACCUCUGGGAGGUAUGAUUCAACUUCUCUAAAACCCUUAUGAUUAAGUAUUUUCUGGAUUAACAGAAAUAAACAAAACUUAAAUUGUAAUUUGAUAGAUGUUGUGCUUAGUCCUUAGGACUAGUUUCUAAAGUUGAUGAUGUGCGUGCAUAUUCUGGAGAAGACUAUGUAUUCAACUCUAUCUUGCUGUUCAGCCCCAAUCUGCGGAUUUUAUUCAUAUCAUUUGGAUGAAUGACUUUGAAGUCUAAAUUUUAGGUUCUUGCAGAAAUCUGUCUUGCCAACUUUCUGUUCUGAAUAAUCUCAGGGUCAGGACUUAAAAUUUGCAAGGGCCUAUUAAUAGGUCAGCACGUCCCCAUCUUCCCUGCUUGAUUCCAAAUUUCCAACAACACCAUCCAUAGAUGACCACAAUGCUUACUCAAAUACUGAAAGCAAAGACCCAUCCUCAAUGGGGUUUGGGUUUGUUUUGUUGGGAGGUUAGGAAGGAAGGAGAGUUGAAAUAAAUUGAUUUGUAUGGCUGUGAGUUUACUGCAAGUCCCGGUGCCUCAGGGGCCUAUGCUUUGCAGUUCUUUGUUUGUCAUUGUUGCUUCUCUUAUGUUCAGUUAAUUUUUCUUCAUGUUCCUACAUAUUUGGAUAUAACUAUAAAAGCAUUGAGUUUUCUCUCCAUGGAAUCAGCAAUUCUUUGUCUUUGCCUUCCUGCGUCGUGAACAUAAAAUCUGUUACUCAUAAUUACUAUUUUUUAUUUUUGUUAACUUCCAACAGAUGAUGUGGGCCCUAGAAUAUG